CGGAACGGGUGAGUAAUGCGUGACCAACCUGCCCCAUGCUCCAGAACAGCUCUUGGAAACGGGUGGUAAUGCUGGAUGCUCCAACUUGACGCAUGUCUUGUUGGGAAAGUGUUUAGUGGCAUGGGAUGGGGUCGCGUCCUAUCAGCUUGUAGGCGGGGUAAUGGCCCACCUAGGCUUCGACGGGUAGCCGGCCUGAGAGGGCGGACGGCACAUUGGGACUGAGAUACGGCCCAGACUCCUACGGGAGGCAGCAGGU
rnacentral:rRNA from 1 species